GACGAACGCUGGCGGCGUGCUUAACACAUGCAAGUCGAACGGUGAAGCGCCUUCCUUUUUGGUGGGUGUGGAUGAGUGGCGAACGGGUGAGUAACACGUGAGUAACCUGCCCCCUUCUUCUGGAUAACCGCAUGAAAGUGUGGCUAAUACGGGAUAUUCUGGGUCUGUCGCAUGAUGGGUCUGGGAAAGAUAUUGUUUCGGUGGGGGAUGGGCUCGCGGCCUAUCAGCUUGUUGGUGGGGUGAUGGCCUACCAAGGCUGUGACGGGUAGCCGGCCUGAGAGGGUGGACGGUCUGACUGGAGAUGAGGCACGGCCAAGCCUGGUACGGGAGACGGCAGUGAGGAAUAUUGCACAAUGGGCGCAAGCCUAAUGCAGCGACGGCGCGUGAGGGAUGGAGGACUUCGGGGUGUGAGCCUCUGUCGCUAGUGAAGCAGGGCUGCCUCGUUUGUGGGUAGAUUGACGGUAGCUGGAUAAGAAGCGCCGGCUAACUACGUG
rnacentral:rRNA from 1 species